rnacentral:rRNA from 1 species
UACAUGGGGUGCAAACGUUGCUCGGAAUCAUUGGGCGUAAAGCGCGCGUAGGCGGUUACUUAAGUUGGAUGUGAAAGCCCUCGGCUUAACUGAGGAAGUGCAUCCAAAACUGAGUAGCUAGAGUACGAAAGAGGGUCGCGGAAUUCCCGGUGUAGAGGUGAAAUUCGUAGAUAUCUGGAGGAACACCGGUGGCGAAGGCGGCAUCCUGGACCAACACUGACGCUGAGUGAGCGAAAGCCAGGGGAGCAAACGGG